ensembl:lncRNA
GGUCUUCGCCCUGCAGGCAUUCUCCUUUCAAAGGCAGGAUUUUCAGGGACAUGACGCCUAAGGGGCUCUACUGGGAACAAAGGGCUCUGCUGUACACUGGACAGGCCAGAGUGCUGUCCAGGAGGGACUGGCAUCUCUUCCUGACAUCUCACCCCCAUUCCAGGAGACCCUGGAGCAGGAAUCCCAGAGAACUCAGCAGGAGACUUUCAGAGGAGCAUUUAUUUGGCAAAGUAACAGCCCAGCUGUUUAUCCACAGCUUCCUCCCUCCUGGCAGCAGUCUCAUCCCACAGCCUGCUCUGCUGAUCUCUUCCAAGAGACAUGGGCAGCGUCUGCAACUGAACCCAAGAUCCCUGGGAAACUCGACAGCCGCUCACCCCCACAUGCUUUCUCCUGGCUCCCCACCCCGAAAAUGCACUGCCAUGGACCAGAGGAACGCUUCAGUGGCCAGCCACUGGUAUGUUUUCAAGUUCCCACCUGCUGUCAUUUUGUCCUGAGCCUGUUUAUCCAGGUGAAUUCUGCUUACCUUAGAAGGUGAGGUCUUGAAAACAAGAGAGAGACCAGUUCUAUGCAAUGCCCUCGGCACAGAGCUUAGUGCAGAACCACAAGCACUUAGGUAUUUAAUAAAUGCUUCCUGAUGGUAGAAUACUAGAGGAAAUCUUUUUAUCUCAGACUUUCUUGGACUUAUGAAUUAGGUGGAAAGUAGGUGGAGUAAGGGUGAGAUGGUGGUGAUUCUGUUUUAAAACUUUUCCCAAGGCUCAAACUUCUAAUUUGCAUAUACAUGAUUGCAUAGAAUGUCUGAUUUGACAGACAUUCUGAUUGCCUGGUUCUGGAAAAGUGAAGUGUGUUCACUUUAUGCCUUGCAUUUCAAAUGUGAAGCAUAUUC